rnacentral:rRNA from 1 species
GAUGAACGCUAGCGGCAGGCCUAAUACAUGCAAGUCGAACGGUGUCUUCGGACAUAGUGGCGCACGGGUGCGUAACACGUAUGCAACCUACCUUACAUUGGGGGAUAGCCUUUCGAAAGGGAGAUUAAUACCGCAUAAGACAGUAGCUGGGCAUCCAGCAGCUGUUAAAGAUUUAUCGAUGUAAGCUGGGCAUGCGUCCAAUUAGCUAGUUGGUGAGGUAACGGCUGACCAAGGCAAUGAUUGGUAGGGGAACUGAGAGGUCAAUCCCCCACACUGGCACUGAGAUACGGGCCAGACUCCUGCGGGAGGCAGCAGUAGGGAAUAUUGGGCAAUGGACGCAAGUCUGACCCAGCCAUGCCGCGUGCAGGAUGAAUGCGUUAUGCGUUGUAAACUGCUUUUAUACAGGAAGAAACGACUCUUGCGAGAGGCAUUGACGGUACUGUAUGAAUAAGCACCGGCUAACUCCGUGCCAGCCGCCGCCGUAAGAC